UUCUCGCUUGCUGUACAGACCACGCCGGCUGGCUAGGUCGCUCUGUAAAAAUUUGCACAGGAAAUUAGCAAGAAGAACAUCUAUAGCAUAAACGAUUAUAACACAUCAUUUCCUAUGAAAUAUCAUUUUGUCUGAGAUGAUUGCUUCAGAGGAGGCAGUGGGGAACAUCAAGAACAGUUAAGGGAGAUGACAAGAAUAUUAGCAGAAGCAGAGCAAUCUUCACAAUGAGAUGAUUCAAUGCAGAGGAAUGACAGAAGUACAGCCUGAGUCAGAGUGUUUCAGACUACAUGCAUUGCCUAAUGAAGAUAAUGAAGAUGAUUACAAGAACAAUCCUUUUGAUGUAUAAAGAAGAACAUAACUCCAGACAUGAUGGAAGGGAUGUAUAAGAAAGCUCAUGCUGCUCUCUGAGAGAUUCCAGUCUAUAAGCAGAAGCCUGAGAGAAGUGAAGAUGAAGAGGUAGACUGCCCCAAAAUAUCCCUUGCCCAGAAGAAAGAUCAGGUUGCUCUAAAGAAGGCAAGCUUCCUCAGAGUUCAGGAAUGGGCUGCUGAGAGCUAAAGCAAUUUUCUAUGAAGAUAUUUUCAUAGAGAAAAUAAAUUUAUUUGA